rnacentral:rRNA from 1 species
ACGAACGCUGGCGGCGUGCUUAACACCUGCAAGUCGAACGGAAAGGCCCCUUUGGGGGUACUCGAGUGGCGACCGGGUGAGUAACACGUGAGUAACCUGCCCUUGACUUCGGGAUAACUUCAGGAAACUGGGGCUAAUACCGGAUAGGAAUCCUUGCUGCAUGGUGGGGGUUGGAAAGCUUCGGCGGUUUUGGAUGGACUCGCGGCUUAUCAGCUUGUUGGUGGGGUAGUGGCUUACCAAGGCUUUGACGGGUAGCCGGCCUGAGAGGGCGACCGGCCACAUUGGGACUGAGAUACGGCCCAGACUCCUACGGGAGGCAGCAGUGGGGAAUAUUGCACAAUGGGCGGAAGCCUGAUGCAGCAACGCCGCGUGCGGGAUGACGGCCUUCGGGUUGUAAACCGCUUUCAGCAGGGGCGAAGCUUGUGGUGACGGUACCUGCAGAAGAAGCACCGGCUAACUACGUG